AGUGGCAAACGGGUGAGUAACGCGUGGGAACCUGCCCUCGAGUGGGGAAUAACGACGGGAAACUGUCGCUAAUACCGCAUACGUCCUUCGGGAGAAAGGCUUCGGCCGCUCAAGGAUGGUCCCGCGUCCGAUUAGCUAGUUGGUGAGGUAACGGCUCACCAAGGCGACGAUCGGUAGCUGGUCUGAGAGGAUGAUCAGCCACACUGGGACUGAGACACGGCCCAGACUCC
rnacentral:rRNA from 1 species